rnacentral:rRNA from 1 species
GUUGAACGCUGGCGGCGGGCUUAACACAUGCAAGUCGAGCGGAGCGGCGGACGGGUGAGUAAUGCCUAUGUCUCUGCCCGGUAGUGGGGGAUAACGUUCGUAAACGGGCGCUAAUACCGCAUCCUAUCAGAUGAGCCUAGGUCGGAUUAGCUAGUUGGUGGGGUAAAGGCCUACCAAGGCGACGAUCCGUAACUGGUCUGAGAGGGUGAUCAGUCACACUGGAACUGAGACACGGUCCAGACUCCUACGGGAGGCAGCAGUGGGGAAUAUUGGACAAUGGGCGAAAGCCUGAUCCAGCCAUGCCGCGUGUGUGAAGAAGGUCUUCGGGUUGUAAAGCACUUUAAGGUGGGAGGCGUUACCAUCAGAAUAAGCACCGGCUAACUUCGUGCCAGCAGCCGCGGUAAUUC